UAGCCUAGCGGUUAAGGCUAUGGAUCGCCAAUCCGGAGACGGCGGGUUCGAUUCCCGU
rfam:Aedes albopictus isolate Foshan contig31210, whole genome shotgun sequence.